rnacentral:rRNA from 1 species
GACGAACGCUGGCGGCGUGCUUAACACAUGCCAGUCGAACGGAAAGGCCCUGCUUUUGUGGGGUGCUCGAGUGGCGAACGGGUGAGUAACACGUGAGUAACCUGCCCUUGACUUUGGGAUAACUUCAGGAAACUGGGGCUAAUACCGGAUAGGAGCUCCUGCUGCAUGGUGGGGGUUGGAAAGUUUCGGCGGUUGGGGAUGCACUCGCGGCUUAUCAGCUUGUUGGUGGGGUAGUGGCUUACCAAGGCUUUGACGGGUAGCCGGCCUGAGAGGGUGACCGGCCACAUUGGGACUGAGAUACGGCCCAGACUCCUACGGGAGGCAGCAGUGGGGAAUAUUGCACAAUGGGCGGAAGCCUGAUGCAGCAACGCCGCGUGCGGGAUGACGGCCUUCGGGUUGUAAACCGCUUUCGCCUGUGACGAAGCGUGAGUGACGGUAAUGGGUAAAGAAGCACCGGCUAACUACGUG